UACGGGGGGGGCAAGCGUUGUUCGGAAUUACUGGGCGUAAAGGGCGCGUAGGCGGUUGGCUAAGUCAGCUGUGAAAACCACGGGCUUAACUCGUGGCCUGCAGUUGAGACUGUCUGGCUUGAGUGUGGGAGAGGAGAGUGGAAUUCCUGGUGUAGCGGUGAAAUGCGUAGAUAUCAGGAGGAACACCGGUGGCGAAGGCGGGUCUCUGGGCCGAUACUGACGCUGAGGAGCGAAAGCGUGGGGAGCGAACAGG
rnacentral:rRNA from 1 species